rnacentral:misc_RNA from 1 species
AUAUGUAUAUUUUGCACAGUGUAUUUUAACAUAACGUGACAUAUAUAUGUAUAAUUUAUGUUAUACGUUAUUAAAUUGGAUAUUAAUAAUCAACAAUAAUUAUUAUAUAAUAUCUAAGUUAAAUUUUAUAUAAUUAACGAUUACAAAAAAUAUUGGUUAAAGACACAUAAUUCAAAAAAAAAUCUUGCAUAAUAAAGAGUUUAUAAGAAAAUGACAUUUGUGAAGAUAAGAAAUAUAUUUAUAUAUAUAACGAGAUAAGGAAUAAUCAAUAAUUGUAUUUGUAUAUUUUUUGAAAUUGCUAAAAAAACACGAUAUUACAAUCUCAACAAACCUCUUGUAUUUCCUGAAACUAUCAAUUUUCAAUUCAAUAUGCAAAUUAUUGGUCCAAUAACACCGAAGAAAUUUUACACUUUAAAAUUUUGAUAAUAGAUUCGAUAAUUGAUUGUGCAUCUAUUCUCUUUUCUGUUCUUUUCUCUCUUUUUAGUUAAUAUAUCAAAUUGAAGCUCAAUAAAAUUAUGCGAAUAUGCGGAUCUUAUCUCAGUCUGAUAUUCACUCAUUAGAAAAUAUCACUAUCAUGUGAAUUAAAUGUUUAUCUCGUUUGCAUAAUCCUAGAUCCAACAGAUCUUUGCGUGAUAUACGUUGAACUUUUGUCGUUCCCAAUAUUUUCAAUUGUUUAAACAGAAAUAAAAUGACACAUUUUAUGUCGCAAUAUAAACUGUAAUGUCAUAUAUAAAUUAUGACAUUACCAGAAUAGAUUGAAUAAUGCGUCCUUGUUAUAAAGUUAUGCUAAAAUACAGCAUCCGAAUCCGAUAAAGAUUGUGAUAAAAUUAAGUACAGAUUGUUUGACUUCUUAUAUCUUCAAACUAAGAGUGUCAUUCUAUUUGUCCAUGUACAGAUAAGGUAAACUUGCAGCGAUAUUAAACGACUAAUCUUGCAAUGGAAAGGUUUCCCUGACGCGCAGUUACAACUUGUUUCAAUUUCAAUUAACGUCGACUCUUUUACCGUCGCGUCAUUUUGAAAUUAAUUCUCGCAAAAUAUAAAAAAUUUUUUAACAUAAAAUAUAAAAUCGCUAUUCAAGAUUUGAUAAGAAAAUUUUUAGAAUCAUAAGAUUACACAGUUUGAUGUACCUCGAGAAAGGUGUAGGAUUGAAAUUUUUUGACUUAAAUAGAUAUAUGUCAAAGAUAUAUUUCCGAAACUCAUUUGCAAAGCAGUAAAAAUGACGAAAAUGGAAGACAAAAGUCUGAGCGAGGUACUUGCGGUAAAAGAUCGAACAAAAAUAACGAAAUCGAGUGAACCGGCGGAUGUCGGACCGUUAAAAUUGAAGGUAUAUAAAAAGAGAUGGCUAAUACUGAUCGUCUAUAUGGUUUAUGCUGGAGCAAACUCUUCUCAAUGGAUAGAAUACUCGAUUAUAACUAAUAUAGUUAUUAGGUAUUAUGGAGUGUCUUCGUUAAUGGUUGACUGGACUUCGAUGUCAUUCAUGGCGUUUUACUCGGCGUUUAUAUUCCCAGCGUCGUACGUGACAGACAAGUACGGUCUACGAUGGGCCACCAUCAUAGGCGCAGGUUUAAACUGCCUGGGUGCCUGGAUAAAAACUUUUUCCGUUCAACCCGACAGAUUUUACAUCACUUUUAUCGGUCAUUCGGUGGUCGCGCUCGCGCAGACUGUGGUUCUGCCGUUACCAGGACGCUUGGCCGCGCAAUGGUUUCCUUCUACCCAACACUCAAGGGCCACGUCUUUGGGUAUUUUCGGCAAUCAAUUGGGAGUGUCGUUGGGUUUCCUCUUAGUGCCUAUAAUAGUGAAAAAUCAUGACAGCCUUGAUGACAUCGGCAAAGACUUGACGCGCUUAUGUUGGAUCGUUGCAAUCCUCGGCACGAUUGUAUUCGGUCUGGUGCUUUUAUUAUUUCAGGACGAACCGAAACUGCCGCCGAGCGAGACGCGGGCGCUGCAAAAAAUGAAUCAAACGAAGAAAAGGGAAGAGUUCAUGGCGCCGAUUAAAAGGCUCUGCAAAAAUAAAAGCUACAUCAUACUCUGUAAUUCCUAUGGUUUGAACGUCGGCGUGCUGAAUGCCGUGUCUACAUUACUCAAUCAGAUAUUCCUCGCACACUUUGAGAACGGGGAGGAAGAUGCAGGCAGAAUUGGCUUGGCUAUAAUUCUGACCGGUAUGGCCGGUUCCGUUAGCUUCGGUGUCAUCCUUGAUAAGACGCAUAAGUUCAAAGAAACUGCCGUGACUGUGUAUUUCCUUACAUUUUGUGGUCAAAUAUUAUUCGCCGUGUCCAUUUACUUUGGCAUAAAAUGGAUGGUAUAUGCAUCGGCGAUCUUCUUAGGAUUCUUCAUGUCGGGAUAUAUAGCAAUGGGAUAUGACUUGUGCACUGAAUACACAUACCCAGAAUCAGAGAAUAUACCCGCGGGAUUUAUCAAUAUAGCAACCUGCAUGUACGGAAUUAUUCUCACCAUAAUAUUUGGAUUAUUACUGAAUGCGUAUGGCGACAUUCCGGUACACGUCGGCUUAUGCUUGACUUUGCUGUUCGGUUUCAUCUUGACCGUCAUAACAAAAGAUGAGCAAAGACGACAAGAUGCGAAGAAGAAGGCUCAGUAUGAAGGAAUCGGGAAAAUGGAGAAGAACGUCGACGGUGUUCCAGAAACUGAUCAACUGACUCAUAGCGUUAAUUAAUAAACACAAAUAAUAUCAAGUCUUUCGAUACCAAUAAGUUUUCGAACAGACAUGAUUUUUUUCAUAUUCUCUAAUUUUUACCAAUAUGAAAAUUACGCGUCGCUUUCUACACGACCGUAGGACCGUAAGUGUAUUAAAAUUAAAUCCUUUUUUUUACGAAAGAAACUCUUGCCAACAAGUAAUAUAGCAUACUUUGAUAUUGCCCCUACCAUAAAAUGGAAUGAGAUUACUCCGACAAGAUUAACUCUACAGUAUAGUAGCAAAAAGGAUUUAACAUUGCAUAGUACUCCUUUAAAAAGGAAGCAAUGAGAAUCAUGUGCAACAUUGAAACUAAAACCUGAUUAUUUUUCUUUUUAGAAAUUAUAAAUGAUUACCAAUUUAUUUCACUGUGAUUAUUUCUACUUAAUUCUAUUUAACAUUUUAGUAUAAUUUCGUAUACGUAUUGAGUGUACAAUUAAUUCAAAAUGACAAACAUCUGUAUAAUAUAAAAUUAUUAAAAUCGGUUUUACAUUUCA